UUUUCACCGCCAUCACGGCUUUAUAGCAACAUCUGCUGAAUAAUUUCUCUGCUUCAGCAGUGCACUCUAAAAGCUUUUCCUGUGUCACAGCUUCCAUUUUCACCUGACUCCUCCUGCUUCCAGACACAGGCUCGCAGGUACAGCGGGACAGGUACAACACAGCCUGUUCUGCUCAGGAUGACGCACAUCAUAUUAACCACAAAGACACGUCCUGCCUCAUUAUCUACUUACUGCUCAUCCUUCACAUUAGCCACAGCUACAGCCAUGAUCCUGUUUACUAGACCUUAUGUACUAAUGAACAAAUUCAAAAUAGACUUAAUGUACCAUAUAGGACUGUACACAUAUUUUUUUUUAAUAUUAAGAAGAUACAAAUCACAAUACAGCUGAUACAACAUGAUACUGCAUGAAGUUUGGAGGUGUGUAGUGAUGAUGAACUCUGAAGCUACAUGAAGUUUGGAGGUGUGUAGUGAUGAUGAACUCUGAAGCUACAUGAAGUUUGGAGGUGUGUAGUGAUGAUGAACUCUGAAGCUACAUGAAGUUUGGAGGUGUGUAGUGAUGAACUAAUCUGAAGCUACAUGAAGUUUGGAGGUGUGUAGUGAUGAACUCUGAAGCUACAUGAAGUUUGGAGGUGUGUAGUGAUGAACUCUGAAGCUACACGAAGUUUGGAGGUGUGUAGUGAUGAACUCUGAAGCUACAUGAAGUUUGGAGGUGUGUAGUGAUGAACUCUGAAGCUACAUGAAGUUUGGAGGUGUGUAGUGAUGAACUCUGAAGCUACACGAAGUUUGGAGGUGUGUAGUGAUGAACUCUGAAGCUACACGAAGUUUGGAGGUGUGUAGUGAUGAACUCUGAAGCUACAUGAAGUUUGGAGGUGUGUAGUGAUGAACUCUGAAGCUACAUGAAGUUUGGAGGUGUGUAGUGAUGAACUCUGAAGCUACACGAAGUUUGGAGGUGUGUAGUGAUGAACUAAUCUGAAGCUACAUGAAGUUUGGAGGUGUGUAGUGAUGAACUCUGAAGCUACAUGAAGUUUGGAGGUGUGUAGUGAUGAACUAAUCUGAAGCUACAUGAAGUUUGGAGGUGUGUAGUGAUGAACUCUGAAGCUACAUGAAGUUUGGAGGUGUAUAGUGAUGAACUCUGAAGCUACAUGAAGUUUGGAGGUGUGUAGUGAUGAACUAAUCUGAAGCUACAUGAAGUUUGGAGGUGUGUAGUGAUGAACUCUGAAGCUACAUGAAGUUUGGAGGUGUGUAGUGAUGAACUCUGAAGCUACAUAAAGUUUGGAGGUGUGUAGUGAUGAACUCUGAAGCUACAUGAAGUUUGGAGGUGUGUAGUGAUGAACUCUGAAGCUACAUGAAGUUUGGAGGUGUGUAGUGAUGAACUAAUCUGAAGCUACAUGAAGUUUGGAGGUGUGUAGUGAUGAACUAAUCUAAAGCUACAUGAAGUUUGGAGGUUAGUAGUGAUGAACUCUGAAGCUACAUGAAGUUUGGAGGUGUGUAGUGAUGAACUCUGAAGCUACAUGAAGUUUGGAGGUGUGUAGUGAUGAACUCUGAAGCUACAUGAAGUUUGGAGGUGUGUAGUGAUGAACUCUGAAGCUACAUGAAGUUUGGAGGUGUGUAGUGAUUAGUGUAGUGACUCUGUAGAAAGUUGGUGAACUCUGUGCACUAUGCUUCUCAGCAUCCGCUGACUCCGCUCUGUUAUAUUACACUGACAGAGCACAGAGUCACUGUCGUUCCCAGUCUCUUCUACUGUGUUAUAAUAUCACUGACAGUUGGCUGUGGAAUAUUUAGUAGUGAGUUGUGAAAUUUCACGACUGGAUUUGUUGCACAGGUGCUGCACCCUAUCACUGUACCACAGUGCUGGAGUUCACUGAGCUCCUAAAAGCCUGAGACCCAUUCUUUCACUAGUGUUUGUAGAAGCACACCCAGCAUGCCUAGCUGCUGCUUUUAUUACACACGUGUGGCCAUGGA